rnacentral:rRNA from 1 species
UACGUAAGGGGCGAGCGUUGUUCGGAAUUAUUGGGUGUAAAGGGUGCGUAGGCGGUUUGACAAGUCUGGUGUUGAAGGCAACGGCUUAACCGUUGUUUGGCGCUGGAAACUGUUAGACUUGAGUUUAGGAGGGGGAGCUGGAAUUCCAGGUGUAGGGGUGAAAUCUGUAGAUAUCUGGAAGAACACCGGUGGCGAAGGCGAGCUCCUGGCCAUAGACUGACGCUGAGGCACGAAAGCGUGGGGAGCGAACAGGAUUAGAUACCCUGGUAGUCCACGCUGUAAACGAUGUACACUAGGUGUCGGUCCAAGAGGAUCGGUGCCGUAGCAAACGCGUUAAGUGUACCACCUGGGGAGUAUGCCGGCAACGGUGAA